AGCAACUAACAAAAGCUGCUAAGCAGCUGCAGCAGAGGGGGUUUUUUUUUUAUUUCUUCCUUUUAAUUCACCGAACGUUCCAAAAAGCGGCGCCGACCAACCAUGGCGGCAACUAGCAAAAAGCGAAAGGUCUCACCUUUGAACGAAUGCGGUUUCGACGUCCAUACACGCCCUAAUUUUGUGGCCGACGGAGUGUUGUUCGCGGAGCCGAACGAGGUGCUGACCGGAUAUCUGGCGUAGGAUGGCUACUCCGGCGUUGAAGUUAGGGUUACGCCGGUGUUGACCGAAAUCAUCGUCCGAGCCACUUGGACUCAAAACGUUCUCGGUGAGAAAGGAAGAAGAAUAUAAGAACUGGCAUCUGUUGUUCAGAAGCGUUUUAAGUUUUCGAGAACAGUGUUGAUCUUUAAGCAGAGAAAGUCAACAACUGAGGGCUCUGUGCCGUUGCUCAGGCAGUCUUUGGGUUACAAGCUUCUAGGAGGGUUUGCUGUCCGGAGGACAUGCUAUGGCGUUUGUAGAUUUGUCAUGGAAAGUGGUGCAAAGGGAUGCAAGGUGCGAAUGAAAGCUGUUCUUUCCACUUGACCUUAUUAGGCUGCACCAACAUAGUACAAUGAAUCUUUCUACUCUACAACCUGUGGGUCAUUGUUAGUGGCAAAAUCAGGGCUCAGCGUGCCAAGUCUAUGAAAUUCAAGGAUGGAUACAUGAUAUCCUCUGGCCAGCCUGUAAAGGAAUAUAUCGAUGCUGCUGUGCCGCAUGUGCUUCUUAGACAGGUGUUCUUGGGAUUAAGGUCAAAAUCACUCUCGAUUGGGAUCCCAAGGGUAAGCAAGGCUCCAAAACACCCCUACCUGAUCUGGUCACCAUCCACCAACCCAAAGAGGACGACAUCAGAUCAGGCCCCCCGUUGUGGCAACCGAAAGUCUGAAAUACCAGUUGGCCUUGUCGCUGCUUAGAGUUGUUUUAACGCAUGCUCAUACCAUUUUUUUUAGUCAAUAUACUAAUUUCUCAUAUUCCGCAUAAUCUCAUUUCUAGUUGGAUGCCUGUUAGUACCCGAUUGGAAUAUGAGAAUGAGAUUAUGUCUUUAGAAUUGUAAUUUUCUUAGCCAGCAAAUAGAAAAAGCAACUCAUGCUCUGUAUGUUACCCGCGUUUGUGUCCUCCCGACUUUUGCUGUUGGAAUCUUAACUUCGUAUGGGAAAUAGUAUUGGGCUGCCUCCCUUUGUAUUUACUCUUAUGGUUAAAAUUCAAAUUCAAAGAUAAUUCUUCUA